GUGAAUCAUCGAAUUUUUGAACGCAAAUUGCACUCUCUGGCAUUCCGGAGAGUAUGCCUGUUUGAGGGUCAGUUUAAAUAAAAACCGGGGGGUUCCUUUUUGUUGCCCCUCGGAAUUUGGGUAUCUUUUGCCUUUUUAAAAGGUUAAAUUAACUUAAAUUUAUACCUUUGUCAACUCAAGCCUACAUAA
rnacentral:misc_RNA from 1 species